UGAACACAGACUUUUAAAUGGACAAAGCCUUCACACCUUGAGAUUUUGCUUAGAUUUAACGGGCUGCAUGUGCGAAGAUUGGAAUUCAAUUGUCACUAGGAGAAACAGGUGGAGUCAAGCAACACCGAGAACACAAUAAUGGACCAUCAAAGCCCUUAUUUUAUGCCCCAGAUCAAACAGGAUCCCGUGGACUUCCACCCAGGUUCAGUGUACGACCUCCCAGUGCCACCCAUCCAGCCUCCACCACCUGCCAAACC